AACGAACGCUGGCGGCAUGCCUAACACAUGCAAGUCGAACGAAGCCUUCGGGCUUAGUGGCGCACGGGUGCGUAACGCGUGGGAAUCUGCCCCUUGCUUCGGAAUAACAGUUAGAAAUGACUGCUAAUACCGGAUGAAGUCUUCGGACCAAAGAUUUAUCGGCAAGGGAUGAGCCCGCGUAGGAUUAGGUAGUUGGUGGGGUAAAGGCCUACCAAGCCGACGAUCCUUAGCUGGUCUGAGAGGAUGAUCAGCCACACUGGGACUGAGACACGGCCCAGACUCCUACGGGAGGCAGCAGUGGGGAAUAUUGGACAGUGGACGCAAGUCUGAUCCAGCAAUGCCGGGUGAGUGAUGAAGGCCUUAGGGUUGUAAAGCUCUUUUACCAGGGAUGAUAAUGACAGUACCUGGAGAAUAAGCUCCGGCUAACUCCGUG
rnacentral:rRNA from 1 species